GCAUAUCAAUAAGCGGAGGAAAAGAAACCAACCGGGAUUGCCUUAGUAACGGCGAGUGAAGCGGCAAAAGCUCAAAUUUGAAAUCUGGCGUCUUCGACGUCCGAGUUGUAAUUUGAAGAAGGCGACUUUGUAGCUGGUCCUUGUCUAUGUUCCUUGGAACAGGACGUCAUAGAGGGUGAGAAUCCCGUGUGGCGAGGAUCCCAGUUAUUUGUAAAGUGCUUUCGACGAGUCGAGUUGUUUGGGAAUGCAGCUCUAAGUGGGUGGUAAAUUCCAUCUAAAGCUAAAUAUUGGCGAGAGACCGAUAGCGAACAAGUACAGUGAUGGAAAGAUGAAAAGACCUUUGAAAAGAGAGUGAAAAAGUACGUGAAAUUGUUGAAAGGGAAGGGCAUUUGAUCAGACAUGGCGUUUGCUUCGGCUUUCGCUGGGCCAGCAUCAGUUUUAGCGGUUGGAUAAAUCCUCGGGAAUGUGGCUCUGCUUCGGUAGAGUGUUAUAGCCCGUGGGAAUACAGCCAGCUGGGACUGAGGAUUGCGACUUUUGUCAAGGAUGCUGGCGUAAUGGUUAAAUGCCGCCCGUCUUGAAACACGGACC
rnacentral:rRNA from 1 species